GUGUCAGCAGCCGCGGUAAUACGGAGGGAGCGAGCGUUGUUCGGAAUUACUGGGCGUAAAGCGUAUGUAGGCGGCUUUGUAAGUCAGGUGUGAAAUCCCAGAGCUUAACUUUGGAACUGCAUUUGAGACUGCAAGGCUUGAGUACCGGAGAGGUUGGCGGAAUUCCCAGUGUAGAGGUGAAAUUCGCAGAUAUUGGGAGGAACACCGAUGGCGCAAGCAGCCAACUGGACGGUCACUGACGCUGAGAUACGAAAGCGUGGGGAGCAAACAGGAUUAGAUACCCUGGUAGUCCACGCCAUAAACGAUGUGUGCUAGCUGCUGGAGUCCUUAGGGCUUCGGUGGCGCAGCUAACGCCUUAAGCACACCGCCUGGGGAGUACGGUCGCAAGAUUAAA
rnacentral:rRNA from 1 species